GGGGGAAAAAUUUGGGAUGGCUGGAUGACGCGCUGUCCUUAGUCUUAGUCUCUCCCCAGGAGCACGUGAUGAUGCCCAAGUAGAUAUUGCCAUAUAUCAGUCCUGGAGCACUUAGAGGCGUAGGAGGGUUCACUUAGGCACUCCCCUUGUGUGAGCAUUGAGAAGAAAAAGGAUCAUUUCAAGGGGUGGCUGGGAGGGAGUUGGGGGGGGGGGGCUUUUGAAGUUUUCAAUUUGGUCUCUGCUUUCUAGAUCCCCCCCCCCUGUCAGGGGGAUUUGCACUCACUAGAAAUAAGUUGACUCUCAUUUUCCCACCUAAUGCGUCAACUUUGAGGGGCACACACUGCAAAGAGAUCAAAUACAAUUGCUAGGGGCAAUGCAGAGUUUUGGGGGUCACUAUAAGUCUUCGAACAUUUGUAAAAUCCAGCUCUAGAGCCAUUACAUCUGUAUACUAUUCAUGCUACGUACUCUUAGAAAGAAAGUCAUUAACAGACUCCUUGCAAUAACUAAUUGCCUUCUUGUAGAUGUUUUUUUUAUUAUGUCAGCCAUGAAAUAAAUCAAGUUCAACGCCGUGGAGGUAUGGACCUUAAGAUAAGCCAGGCUUAACAUGACAAAAUCAAAGCUUCAGACUUCAGGAGGCACCUACGAUGAAACUAGAUCUGCUUCUCUUAGAUUUUUUAUAAUGCCAGUAAAAGAACAACCAACGGUCCAAGGAAACUAUUUUACAUGUUCAAAAGUAAAAGUCGGGAGUAGGAAUCUAAAUAUGUUUCCACCACUGCACUUGUUUAUUGUGACAUGGAACAUUACUCUUAGGAUAAUUAUUUUAUUUUAUUAAUCGUUGAUUCUGUUUUCAUCGUCCGCACUACUCACAACAGAGCAUCUUCUUUGUUUCUACACUCACUUUAGUGAAAUAAAGAACAUUUCCACCAUACACUUUAGGUGUACAGUACUCAGUUACCAAAUUCCAUGGUCUGAAUGGGGUGUAUAUAGAUAGAUAGAUAGAAUUAGCAAAGCAGGCCUUAUUAGGUAUUUAGGUAUACAGUACCAAAUACCAUGGUCUGAAUGGGGUGUGUAUAUACACACACACACACACACACACACACACACACACACACACACACACACACACACACACACACACACACACACACACACACACA